rnacentral:rRNA from 1 species
UACAGAGGUCCCAAGCGUUGUUCGGAUUCACUGGGCGUAAAGGGUGCGUAGGCGGUCGGGUAAGUCUGAUGUGAAAUCUCACAGCUUAACUGUGAAACUGCAUUGGAUACUAUCCGGCUCGAGGAAUGGAGGGGAGACUGGAAUACUUGGUGUAGCAGUGAAAUGCGUAGAUAUCAAGUGGAACACCAGUGGCGAAGGCGAGUCUCUGGACAUUUCCUGACGCUGAGGCACGAAAGCCAGGGAGGCAAACGGG